rnacentral:rRNA from 1 species
AGAACGAACGCUGGCGGCAUGCCUAACACAUGCAAGUCGAACGAAGCCUUCGGGCUUAGUGGCGCACGGGUGCGUAACACGUGGGAAUCUGCCCUUAGGUACGGAAUAACUCAGGGAAACUUGAGCUAAUACCGUAUGAUGUCUUCGGACCAAAGAUUUAUCGCCAAGGGAUGAGCCCGCGUAGGAUUAGCUAGUUGGUGAGGUAAAGGCUCACCAAGGCAACGAUCCUUAGCUGGUCUGAGAGGAUGAUCAGCCACACUGGGACUGAGACACGGCCCAGACUCCUACGGGAGGCAGCAGUAGGGAAUAUUGGACAAUGGGCGAAAGCCUGAUCCAGCAAUGCCGCGUGAGUGAUGAAGGCCUUAGGUUGUAAAGCUCUUUUACCCGAGAUGAUAAUGACUAGUAUCGGAAGAAUAAGCCCCGGACUAACUCCGUGCCAGCAGCCGC